GAAAAGCUUUGCAUCAAUGUCAGUAGAGUAAAAAUGUCUGCAAUACGUGUGGGAAGGGAACACUGGCCUUAUCUCUCGUUGGACAAAGAACUUCUUUCCUCUGUUCCCGUUCCUCUGCUUGACUCCUUACACUAAGCUUGACCGCUUAGGGGUCCAUGGAAAACAGCCUGUUUGUAGAAUCUUCCUACUGAUACCUCUUUCUUACCAGCUGAAGGGCAUGUUGACCUUCAAAUCACAGCUGUGACCAGCACGUUUAGAAGUGUGGCUGGAGCUGGCAACUGAAGGUUAACUUUAUGUGAACAUUGUGAUGCUAUAAAUAUAGAUUGGCUUUUUAUUUCCAUACUGGAGAGAGUACUGAACGUAUUAGCCGGUACUAAUUAUGAGGCAUUACAUUUGUCCCCAGUUAUAAAAGGUAUUUAAAAUUCACUUUUUAGUAUGCUAACCACAAGUGAGAUAAUUACUGAGCCUAUUGCUGCUAUUAGACCAUAAUGUAGAAAUCACUUAAUUUUCUAGCUUUUAGCAGAUGGGUCUCAUCUCACAGAGUUGGUGGGGUUCUUCCUUGUGCUGAACUGCCCAUGUAAUACCACUCUGUCCUGCUCCCUAACAUGUCAUUUUGUCCUAGUGCAGCAUCAAAAGCCUGUUGAAAAAUCCACCUGAGUUAGCUAGCAGCUCUGCUGGGUAUUUUUAGUAGAAAGCAAGAUAACUGAGACUAGUGACAGUGGGAAUUCUGCUGCUACGGAAGUCUUCUGAUCCUGGGGUUUUUAUUUGGGAGCAUUCCUGACUAUGCUAAUUGACAGUGGAAUUUGUCUGACCUUACUUUAGAUGCUUCCGAUCUCGAUUUGCCACUGGAAAACCAGGGGUGUUUGGGGGGGUAGCGUGGAACCCCCCUGCGACAGGAGGGGUAACUCAAAGGGGGUGCAAAGCAUUCCAAUGAACCUGAGCCCCGAGCCAAGGGCGCCGGGGACCCCGACCCCUCCGUGUCCUGAGGAAGCCCCCUGGGACGGGGAAGGAGUCACCGGGGUGGCCGGGGUCCCCCCUGCCCUGCCAUAAAGCCAAAGGAACUCCCGAGCCUGGGAAAACACGCACAGUUGGCUCCGUUCUGAGCAGGAUGUGUGUGUGUCCCAGCCACUGGCCAGGGGGUCCCACGGGCUGGGCCCGGCUGGCCAAACCUCUCCUCAAACCAAAAUCGAGUGUACCCGGGAUUCAGUCUGAGCCUGUGUGUGGAACAGGGCGAGAUGAAGAGAGCUGUGCGUGUUUUCACAGCCCGAAGGCAUACACGACUGCGCCACCACUGCUGACGGGUAACAGGCUCCAUGCAUAAAGAAAUACCAUCAAAGCAAAAGGCCUAGUCCCAAAUCCAAAAAAAAAAAAGAAGUUGCCAUUAAGAACCACGAUGCAUCACACUGCUAAGGUUUUGCCUCAUGCAUAAAAAUGGUCGCGCUGAUUGGCAGUUGCUAAUUAUAAUACUACACCGUCACACAGAACAAUUAGCUGUUCAGACCAAGUAGCACAAAUGUAGAAAAUAAUCUUUUUUUUUCUUUUUUUUUUUUUUCCAACAGAGCAAAUUAACACAGAUUGUUUCUUCAGCAAAAUAUGAAACUGUAAACUUUGGGCUCAUUCUGCAACUUUUCCCCAAUCCAUAAUAAACAAAAAAACCCAACAGGAAGAAAGACUGAC
rnacentral:lncRNA from 1 species